GCAAGGCCCAGCCUGGGGCAGAAAUGGCUGCAAGUGGCCGAGGUCUCCGCAAGGCUGUGGCCGCCUCUCCCUUCCCAGCUUGGAGACGAGCUCACACGGAAGCAGGGGGAGGUCUGAAGCCUGAGUAUGAUGCGGUGGUGAUAGGAGCAGAGGGCCCCAGAUGCAUGAUUGCCAACUAGGUCUAUACAGAGAUAAAGCAGACGGCACUCAACAUGCAGCUUUGAGGGCAUGUCUUCAUUUUCGUAUGCACUAGAGCAGUUGCGAGC
rnacentral:sRNA from 1 species